rfam:Oryza nivara chromosome 7, whole genome shotgun sequence.
UAUAUGAUACAACCCUACAAGUUUAAGGAUCGCCAAUACACCUUACUCAAAAUUUUUUAUGAUUAGUAUUUUUAUUGCUAUUAGAUGAUAAAACAUGAAUAGUACUUUAUGUGUGACUAAAUGUUUUCAAAUUUUUCACAAAUUUUUCAAAUAAGACGGACGGUCAAACGUUGAGCACGGAUAUUUACAGCUGCACUUAUU